rnacentral:rRNA from 1 species
ACGGGUGAGUAACACGUAGGUAAUCUACCCCAGAAUCUGGAAUAACCUGCCGAAAGGCGGGCUAAUACUAGAUAGAGCGAUGGAAUCCGUAAUUGGGUUUUUCGGGAAAGGGAGGGAGUAAUCCCCCUCGUUUUGGGAUGAGCCUGCGUCCUAUCAGCUAGUUGGUGAGGUAAUGGCUCACCAAGGCUUCGACGGGUAGCUGGUCUGAGAGGAUGAUCAGCCACACUGGAACUGAAACACGGUCCAGACUCCUACGGGAGGCAGCAGUGGGGAAUCUUGCGCAAUGGACGAAAGUCUGACGCAGCCACGCCGCGUGAGUGAAGAAGGCCUUCGGGUUGUAAAGCUCUGUCGGGCGGGACGAAAAUCCAUUAGGUGAAUAGCCUAGUGGCCUGACGGUACCGCCAAAGGAAGCACCGGCUAACUUCGUGCCAGCAGCCGCGGUAAUACGAAGGGUGCAAGCGUUGCUCGGAAUUAUUGGGCGUAAAGGGUAGGUAGGUGGUCUCAUUUGUCUGGGGUGAAAUCCUCGAGCUUAACUUGAGAAGUGCCCCGGAAACGGUGAGACUAGAGUCCUGGAGAGGGUCGUGGA